rnacentral:rRNA from 1 species
CCUACGGGGGGCAGCAGUGAGGAAUAUUGGUCAAUGGACGAGAGUCUGAACCAGCCAAGUAGCGUGAAGGAUGACUGCCCUAUGGGUUGUAAACUUCUUUUAUAUGGGAAUAAAAUGUUCCACGUGUGGGAUUUUGUAUGUACCAUAUGAAUACGGAUCGGCUAACUCCGUGCCAGCAGCCGCGGUAAUACGGAGGAUCCGAGCGUUAUCCGGAUUUAUUGGGUUUAAAGGGAGCGUAGGUGGAUUGUUAAGUCAGUUGUGAAAGUUUGCGGCUCAACCGUAAAAUUGCAGUUGAAACUGGCAGUCGUGAGUACAGUAGAGGUGGGCGGAAUUCGUGGUGUAGCGGUGAAAUGAUUAGAUAUCACGAAGAACUCCUAUUGCGAAGGCAGCUCACUGGACUGCAACUGACACUGAGGCUCGAAAGUGUGGGUAUCAAACAGGAUUAGAUACCCCAGUAGUC